rnacentral:rRNA from 1 species
GUAGGUGGCAAGCGUUGUCCGGAAUUAUUGGGCGUAAAGCGCGCGCAGGCGGUUCUUUAAGUCUGAUGUGAAAGCCCACGGCUCAACCGUGGAGGGUCAUUGGAAACUGGAGAACUUGAGUACAGAAGAGGAAAGCGGAAUUCCACGUGUAGCGGUGAAAUGCGUAGAGAUGUGGAGGAACACCAGUGGCGAAGGCGGCUUUCUGGUCUGUAACUGACGCUGAGGCGCGGAAGCGUGGGGAGCAAACAGGAUUAGAUACCCUGGUAGUCCACGCCGUAAACGAUGAGUGCUAAGUGUUAGGGGGUUUCCGCCCCCCUUAGUGCUGCAGCUAACGCAUUAAGCACUCCGGCCUGGGAGUACGGCCGCAAGGCUG